rnacentral:lncRNA from 1 species
GGCAUAGGUUUUAUAUAGCGCUUUUAACCACUACUCAAAGACGUUUUACAGAGAGAUAAAUCCGAAUCAUAACUGCUUAUUAGUAAUCACAACUUUAGAAGAAAAACGUCUUUAAUAUUUUUAACAUGUAAGAGAUAGAGGUGGGAAUUGAUAAGUUUUCAUCAAUAUCAUUGGCAUUGUUGAUUCUGUCUAUUUAUCCAAUUCUUCAUCAAUUCUAGAGUAGUUAAAACAGGUGGCAAAAAAAGAAUAACAGUGCAAUAUAACUGUCAGUUUCUUUAUGAUAAAUUAUCAGUUGAACCUGUAUCAGUUGGAAAUGUCUUUCCAAAUGUUCUCUUUUAUUCUCCCUGUGAAGGCAGAGUCCUCUUGUUUGGUGCAGUGUUGCUGUAGCUUCUGCAGAGUGGGAGAAACCUGGCGGCACCAACUACUGGUAGAGGGAGUAUUUGUGAGAUAAAUGUGUGUGACGACUGACAGUGACAUGGCUGAAAAGUGACACCGGAUGGCAGCGAUCUGCAGGGACAGUCAGCCAACAAGGCGCUAAAGAAAAAAAAACAUGAUUCUGAGGAGGAAAUCUCUGCGUGGGCUCAGAAACAUCUCUGAAAAUCAUCAUCAGUCAAGACAGUUUGUCAGUUUUCACAAAGUCAAAUGAUAACUCAGCCAUAAAAACCAUAUAAAAUAAUGUAAACAAUUCUGAAACCUGAUCUGCAACCACGGCUCUGGGGCCACUUGUGGCUCUCAGAUACCUCUAAUGUGGCUCCUUGAUCAAAAUGGUGUUAACUUAGCUAAUGUUUAGCUAUUUUUAGCAGGAAUGGAUUGUUAA